rnacentral:rRNA from 1 species
UGAGGAAUUUUGCGCAAUGGCCGCAAGGCUGACGCAGCAACGCCGCGUGGGUGAAGAAGGCCUUCGGGUCGUAAAGCCCUGUCAGGUGGGAAGAACGACCGGGAAGUGAACAGCUUUCCGGUGUGACGGUACCACCAGAGGAAGCACCGGCUAACUCCGUGCCAGCAGCCGCGGUAAUACGGAGGGUGCAAGCGUUAUCCGGAUUCACUGGGUUUAAAGGGUGCGUAGGUGGGCAGAUAAGUCAGUGGUGAAAUCUUCCGGCUUAACCGGGAAACUGCCGUUGAUACUAUUUGUCUUGAAUAUUGCGGAGGUAAGCGGAAUAUGUCAUGUAGCGGUGAAAUGCUUAGAUAUGACAUAGAACACCAAUUGCGAAGGCAGCUUACUACACAAUCAUUGACACUGAGGCACGAAAGCGUGGGUAGCGAACA